rnacentral:misc_RNA from 1 species
GGAAAACAGGUGCCGGUGGUAGGACAGAUCGGAGACGCACGGCUAGUAACGAGAAGAAGUCGGGAUCAAAGAGAAAACCGAAGCGGCACAAGUUCACCGGUUCAUCUUGUGAGAUGAAGUUCUUGAACUCCACCGCUAAACUUGUAGAACCUGUAGAGAACAAGAAAUUCUCGAGAUUUUCCUUGCAAUAUACAGAUGUUGAAGAACGACCUAGUGAAGCAGAAAGCUGGGAGCCUAGAUUUGCUGGUCAUCAGACUCUCAAAGAAAGGGAAGAGUCUUUUUAUGCCCG